ACGGGGGGGGCAAGCGUUGUUCAGAAUUACUGGGCGUAAAGGGCUCGUAGGCGGCCAACUAAGUCGGAUGUGAAAUCCCCAGGCUCAACUUGGGAACUGCAUCCGAUACUGGAUGGCUUGAAUCCGGGAGAGGGAUGCAGAAUUCCGGGUGUAGCGGUGAAAUGCGUAGAUAUCUGGAGGAACACCGGUGGCGAAGGCGGCAUCCUGGACCGGCAUUGACGCUGAUGAGCGAAAGCUAGGGGAGCAAACGGGA
rnacentral:rRNA from 1 species